rnacentral:ncRNA from 1 species
UGGCUUUUGUAGCAAAUUCUAUUUGUUCUCUGCCGCUUUGGGUUGUGGGGCUUACUUCCUAGCCCUAAUUGGAGUAUACGUAGUGAGGCUGAGGAGAAAAAAGAGGAAUCCGCCCUAGGAGGGGAUCGCGUCUGAUUAGCUAAUUAGUGAGGUGAUAGCUUACCAAGGCGAUGAUUGGUAGCUGGUCUGAGAGGAUGAACAACCACACUGAGAUUGAGACACGAUCCAGAUUUCUACAAGAGGAAGCAAUUGAUAAUUUUUUGCAAUGGGCGAAAGCUUAAUAGAGCAA